rnacentral:misc_RNA from 1 species
UGCCUAUUUCAUUUUUCUCUUUUUUUAUCCAAUUAAAGGAAUUUUUAUAUUAAAGUGGUAUUUAAGUAUGUCAAUGGGCAUUACAGCAAAAAGCAUAAUAAAUGAACUUGAAAGUCUUCUGGAAGAUUUAGCUACUGCAAUUAAAACUACAAAUGGAAGUUUCUCGCUUUUAAAGGAUGAAGAUUUAUGUGAAAAUUUGUAUCAACAAGCAACUAUUAUAUACAUCUGAAUUGGACAUUUUUGACACAUUUUCUUAUCUUGACUACGAAAAUCAUGUUAAAAUUUAUGAGCGAAAGUUGCAUAUGAGAAUCAUGGCCUGCAAAUACAGAUCAGUUGGACCAAUUUAAUAAAAUACAUUUAUUGGACUAGACAAGAAAAAAGGCUGAAUCUCAAGAUCGGUCCAAUUGAAUAUUACAAUUAAAUAUUAUAAUCUCAACAAGUCAACAACCAUGGAAGCAUAAAUUGUAAAUCAAAUAGUAUCUUAUCAGUGCUGAAUCCUUCCAUUGUAAUAUACUCAAUUAACCUUUUGCAAUCUCUGUAAUUUAAAAUGAAAUGAAAUAUUACCAUGCCACUUUACCCAAAUCACUGCAAAACCAAAUCAAUUAAG